rnacentral:rRNA from 1 species
AGUGAACGCUGGCGGUAGGCCUAACACAUGCAAGUCGAACGGCAGCACAGUAAGAGCUUGCUCUUACGGGUGGCGAGUGGCGGACGGGUGAGGAAUACAUCGGAAUCUACUUUUUCGUGGGGGAUAACGUAGGGAAACUUACGCUAAUACCGCAUACGACCUACGGGUGAAAGCAGGGGAUCUUCGGACCUUGCGCGAUUGAAUGAGCCGAUGUCGGAUUAGCUAGUUGGCGGGGUAAAGGCCCACCAAGGCGACGAUCCGUAGCUGGUCUGAGAGGAUGAUCAGCCACACUGGAACUGAGACACGGUCCAGACCCCUACGGGAGGCAGCAGUGGGGAAUAUUGGACAAUGGGCGCAAGCCUGAUCCAGCCAUACCGCGUGGGUGAAGAAGGUCUUCGGGUUGUAAAGCCCUUUUGUUGGGAAAGAAAAGCAGCAGGUUAAUACCCCGCUGUUCUGACGGUACCCAAAGAAUAAGCACCGGCUAACUUCGUG